UCGUUAGAUCACCGAAGUUAAGCAUCAUUGGGCGCGGUCAGUACUUGGGUGGGUGACCACCUGGGAACACUGCGUGCCGUU